CCUAACAAGAUUAACAAGUGAAAAUGAUGUUUUUUCUUGCAUUCAAUGCAAAUUAGUGUAUCCGUCGAAGACGUAAAAGGUUAACGUGGAUGAAUCAUGUCCCUGAAAUUAUUUACAAUCAAUUGAUAAGAAAUUCAAAAAAUUGUUUUUUCUUUCAAUUUUAUCCUUAAAAUUUCGUAGUCGAACAAGAAGUUGAAACUGAAAUUUGGAACAAUACAAAUUAUAAUUUUUUGAUAAUAGCAAUUCAAAUUAUGGCUCGAUUGUCCAAUUUAUACCUCUUCAUUUACAAUUUUCUUCAAACCAUUGGCUGGGCAAUUGCAUUCUGGCGAAUUUUAAUAGAUCUCAGUACCACUCAUUCCUUCAAUGCCGCAUUUGCCUCUUCUGGGCAACUUAUUUGUUUAUUGCAGAAAACUGCUUUCUUGGAAGUUAUACAUGGUGCUUUAGGUAUUGUUCCAAGUGGAGUGUUGUUACCUCUUAUGCAAUGGGGAGGAAGAACUCACUAUCUUCUAGCUCUUGUUGGGAACAUUGUUGAGGUACAAGAGUCUCAAUCCAUUUUUGUAACUUUUGCUGCUUGGAGCAUCAGUGAAGUAAUUAGGUACUCAAACUACGCUUUAAGCUGUAUUGGAAAAUGCCCAUAUUGGUCGACCUACAUCAGGUACACUCUUUUCAUCCCAGUGUAUCCUGUUGGAGUUGCUGGUGAAAUGUGGCUUAUGUACCAAGCUCUUCCAUAUAUAAAGGAAAAGGACCUUUACAGAAAUUUUUUCGCUGCCCUUCAUUUCAGCUAUCUUACCUUUGUCAAGGUGGCUCUUGUCUGCUAUCCUUUUCUUUGGUUGAAGCUUUACCUGCAUUUACUGAAACAAAGACGAUCCAAGCUGCGUAAACCUCGUCAAACGAAGAAAGAGUAGUCAUUCAAUGUUGUCCCUUCGGUCUCACAGUGGAUUAAUGUGCUGUUUACAUUCUUUAGGAAGCUCCUCGUAGUUGUCUGGCUGAAUGAAGACGAUGUGGUAGAGGAGAGCAGCAAUUGAAGCACCGAUGAAUGGGCCGAGCCAGUAGACCCAGUGGUUGUCCCAUGUCCAGCUGACAACAGCAGGACCAAAGGAU